rnacentral:rRNA from 1 species
UUAAGCGACUAAGCGUACACGGUGGAUGCCCUGGCAGUCAGAGGCGAUGAAGGGCGUGCUAAUCUGCGAUAAGCGCCGGUAAGGUGAUAUGAACCGUUAUAACCGGCGAUACCCGAAUGGGGAAACCCAGUGUGAUUCGUCACACUAUCAUUAACUGAAUCCAUAGGUUAAUGAGGCGAACCGGGGGAACUGAAACAUCUAAGUACCCCGAGGAAAAGAAAUCAACCGAGAUUCCCCCAGUAGCGGCGAGCGAACGGGGAGGAGCCCAGAGCCUGAAUCAGCAUGUGUGGUUAGUGGAAGCGUCUGGAAAGGCGCGCGAUACAGGGUGACAGCCCCGUACACAAAAGCGCAUGUGCUGUGAGCUCGAUGAGUAGGGCGGGACACGUGGUAUCCUGUCUGAAUAUGGGGGGGACCAUCCUCCAAGGCUAAAUACUCCUGACUGACCGAUAGUGAACCAGUACCGUGAGGGAAAGGCGAAAAGAACCCCGGCGAGGGGAGUGAAAAAGAACCUGAAACCGUGUACGUACAAGCAGUGGGAGCACCCUUCGGGGUGUGACUGCGUACCUUUUGUAUAAUGGGUCAGCGACUUAUAUUCUGUAGCAAGGUUAACCGAAUAGGGGGAGCCGGAGGGAAACCGAGUCUUAAUUGGGCGUUAAGUUGCAGGGUAUAGACCCGAAACCCGGUGAUCUAGCCAUGGGCAGGUUGAAGGUUGGGUAACACUAACUGGAGGACCGAACCGACUAAUGUUGAAAAAUUAGCGGAUGACCUGUGGCUGGGGGUGAAAGGCCAAUCAAACCGGGAGAUAGCUGGUUCUCCCCGAAAGCUAUUUAGGUUAGCGCCUCGUGAAUUCAUCUCCGGGGGUAGAGCACUGUUUCGGCUAGGGGGCCAUCCCGGCUUACCAACCCGAUGCAAACUGCGAAUACCGGAGAAUGUUAUCACGGAGACACACGGCGGGUGCUAACGUCCGUCGUGAAGAGGGAAACAACCCAGACCGCCAGCUAAGGUCCCAAAGUCAUGGUUAAGUGGGAAACGAUGUGGGAAGGCCCAGACAGCCAGGAUGUUGGCUUAGAAGCAGCCAUCAUUUAAAGAAAGCGUAAUAGCUCACUGGUCGAGUCGGCCUGCGCGGAAGAUGUAACGGGGGCUAAACCAUGCACCGAAGCUGCGGCAGCGAACGUAUCACUUAAAGCGAUUCAGCGGGUUACGAUUGACGGAGCGAAGCGACGUCAAAGCGUAUACAAAGUCGAGUCGGUUUAAGGAUACGUUCGUUGGGUAGGGGAGCGUUCUGUAAGCCUGUGAAGGUGGCCUGUGAGGGUUGCUGGAGGUAUCAGAAGUGCGAAUGCUGACAUAAGUAACGAUAAAGCGGGUGAAAAGCCCGCUCGCCGGAAGACCAAGGGUUCCUGUCCAACGUUAAUCGGGGCAGGGUGAGUCGACCCCUAAGGCGAGGCCGAAAGGCGUAGUCGAUGGGAAACGGGUUAAUAUUCCCGUACUUGGUGUUACUGCGAAGGGGGGACGGAGAAGGCUAUGUUGGCCGGGCGACGGUUGUCCCGGUUUAAGCGUGUAGGUGUGUGUUCCAGGUAAAUCCGGUUCACUUUAACACUGAGGCGUGACGACGAGGCACUACGGUGCUGAAGCAACAAAUGCCCUGCUUCCAGGAAAAGCCUCUAAGCAUCAGGUAACAUCAAAUCGUACCCCAAACCGACACAGGUGGUCAGGUAGAGAAUACCAAGGCGCUUGAGAGAACUCGGGUGAAGGAACUAGGCAAAAUGGUGCCGUAACUUCGGGAGAAGGCACGCUGACACGUAGGUGAAGUGAUUUACUCAUGGAGCUGAAGUCAGUCGAAGAUACCAGCUGGCUGCAACUGUUUAUUAAAAACACAGCACUGUGCAAACACGAAAGUGGACGUAUACGGUGUGACGCCUGCCCGGUGCCGGAAGGUUAAUUGAUGGGGUCAGCGCAAGCGAAGCUCCUGAUCGAAGCCCCGGUAAACGGCGGCCGUAACUAUAACGGUCCUAAGGUAGCGAAAUUCCUUGUCGGGUAAGUUCCGACCUGCACGAAUGGCGUAAUGAUGGCCAGGCUGUCUCCACCCGAGACUCAGUGAAAUUGAACUCGCUGUGAAGAUGCAGUGUACCCGCGGCAAGACGGAAAGACCCCGUGAACCUUUACUAUAGCUUGACACUGAACAUUGAGCCUUGAUGUGUAGGAUAGGUGGGAGGGCUUUGAAGCGUGGACGCCAGUCUGCGUGGAGCGACCUUGAAAUACCACCCUUUAAUGUUUGAUGUUCUAACGUGGACCCGUAAUCCGGGUUGCGGACAGUGUCUGGUGGGUAGUUUGACUGGGGCGGUCUCCUCCUAAAGAGUAACGGAGGAGCACGAAGGUUGGCUAAUCCUGGUCGGACAUCAGGAGGUUAGUGCAAUGGCAUAAGCCAGCUUGACUGCGAGCGUGACGGCGCGAGCAGGUGCGAAAGCAGGUCAUAGUGAUCCGGUGGUUCUGAAUGGAAGGGCCAUCGCUCAACGGAUAAAAGGUACUCCGGGGAUAACAGGCUGAUACCGCCCAAGAGUUCAUAUCGACGGCGGUGUUUGGCACCUCGAUGUCGGCUCAUCACAUCCUGGGGCUGAAGUAGGUCCCAAGGGUAUGGCUGUUCGCCAUUUAAAGUGGUACGCGAGCUGGGUUUAGAACGUCGUGAGACAGUUCGGUCCCUAUCUGCCGUGGGCGCUGGAGAACUGAGGGGGGCUGCUCCUAGUACGAGAGGACCGGAGUGGACGCAUCACUGGUGUUCGGGUUGUCAUGCCAAUGGCACUGCCCGGUAGCUAAAUGCGGAAGAGAUAAGUGCUGAAAGCAUCUAAGCACGAAACUUGCCCCGAGAUGAGUUCUCCCUGAGACUUAGAGUCUCCUGAAGGAACGUUGAAGACGACGACGUUGAUAGGCCGGGUGUGUAAGCGCAGCGAUGCGUUGAGCUAACCGGUACUAAUGAACCGUGAGGCUUAACCUU